AGUCGAGGGGUAUAGUUCUUCGGAACUAGAGACCGGCGCACGGGUGCGUAACGCGUAUGCAAUCUACCUUUUACAGAGGGAUAGCCCAGAGAAAUUUGGAUUAAUACCUCAUAGUAUAGUACAACUGCAUGGUUGAACUAUUAAAGUCACAACGGUAAAAGAUGAGCAUGCGUCCCAUUAGCUAGUUGGUAAGGUAACGGCUUACCAAGGCUACGAUGGGUAGGGGUCCUGAGAGGGAGAUCCCCCACACUGGUACUGAGACACGGACCAGACUCCUACGGGAGGCAGCAGUGAGGAAUAUUGGACAAUGGGCGCAAGCCUGAUCCAGCCAUGCCGCGUGCAGGAUGACGGUCCUAUGGAUUGUAAACUGCUUUUAUACGAGAAGAAACACUCCAACGUGUCGGAGCUUGACGGUAUCGUAAGAAUAAGGAUCGGCUAACUCCGUGCCAGCAGCCGCGGUAAUACGGAGGAU
rnacentral:rRNA from 1 species